AGCGAACGCUGGCGGCAGGCUCAACACAUGCAAGUCGAGCGCCCCGCAAGGGGAGCGGCAGACGGGUGAGUAACACGUGGGAACGUGCCUUUUGGUUCGGAACAACCCAGGGAAACUUGGGCGAAUACCGGAUAAGCCCUUACGGGGAAAGAUUUAUCGCCAAAAGAUCGGCCCGCGUCUGAUUAGCUAGUUGGUGGGGUAAUGGCCCACCAAGGCUACGAUCAGUAGCUGGUCUGAGAGGAUGAUCAGCCACAUUGGGACUGAGACACGGCCCAAACUCCUACGGGAGGCAGCAGUGGGGAAUAUUGGACAAUGGGGGCAACCCUGAUCCAGCCAUGCCGCGUGAGUGAUGAUGGCCUUAGGGUUGUAAAGCUCUUUUAGCAGGGAAGAUAAUGACGGUACCUGCAGAAAAAGCCCCGGCUAACUUCGUGCCAGCCGCCGCGGUAA
rnacentral:rRNA from 1 species